rnacentral:lncRNA from 1 species
CAGACUGGUUCUCUAAUCCACCAGAGUCACGAAAAUCAUUCCUAUAUUUGUUUCUCGCAGCUGAAGUAAGGGAAUAUGAGGACACUGCAGUGUUCUCUUUUAUAUCAUCAUCAUCAAAAGGAUUAGUACUAACUUUUGAUGUAGUUAGGUUGGGUUCAGAAGAAGUCCUUUUUGAGGGUUUAAGAGUCUGCUUAUUAUCCAACUCAUCGUCAGAAUCAAACGGGUUGGACCGAGAAGAAACCCGGUGUCCAGGGUCAACCGAAUUAUGCCUACCAACCCUUAAAGGAGAUUUCUUUAAGCCAAACAUUCUUAAAGCAGAGCUAUUAUUCAAACUGAAGAGAAAUCGAUCUAUCAAUCAAUGUUCCUGAAAAUAAAAAAAGGGAAAAAAAACAAAAACAAAUAAGCAUUUCUGUGAGAUUGUGAUGGGGUUAUUCAAAUAAUUACAAUAAUCAACAAGUUUAGCUGAAUAAGGUUGCAUAACAUUUGAGUUCCAUAAUACAGACUAGUAGGCGUGAUUCAGGAACAAAUUAUCAGAACUAGUUCCAAUAAAAAAAAAAAAACCAGCGACCCAAAAUUCAAAUAAGAAAAACAAGAUCAGCGAGAAAAUAAACCAGAAGAAGAUGUUUCCAUUAGAGUAAAAUUUUAUAAAAAGAAAUGAGAGGAAGACAGUAAGGUUACAAAUCUAAUUAAAGAUUUAGGUUGACCAAAAAAAAAAGGCUAUGGAAAAUAAUCAUACCGAUAUAGGCUUUUUUUUUUUUUUAAGAAAAAAGAGGAUAUAAGAGAUUUAAAAAAAUUAUUCAUAAAUAUGCAACACAUCUACAGGAAUGAACAUAAUAUGACCGUUAGACUAAUAUGUCACUUGAGCGACCGUUCAACAGAAAAAAUAAAACAGGAAACUUUUUCCUCCAAUUUUUCUCAGAACCAAACAGAAGAUCCAAAGGGAGAACAACCAUAAGCCUUAAAAAUGAAUUGAAAGAAAAAAAAAAAAACCACAGAGAUACUGAAUAGCUGUACCUAAAGAUUUCAAAUUCUCUAAUUUCAAGAAAAAAAAAAAUAGGAUUUUGUUUGAUUAACGAGAAAGCAAGUUGAUCUCAAAGAAACCGACCGUACGAUGAUAACAAGGAAGAAACAAACAAACAAACAACACAAGACAAGACAAGAUUUUGAAACAAACCCACAUAGCAGAAUCUAAAAUCAAGCAAAACCCAGAACGCAGAAUCAAGAAAAAUAAGUAACUAAAUUAAUCGGCAAAGAUUUUAGAAGAGUAUCUUUAACCUGAGAAAAUGUUGCAGAAAAUCUUGCAAGAGCGCAAGAAUCUCACAAGGAAUUAGUCAAAAUGAAACUUUGCGAAGAAAGAGCUUUACUUUGUGAAGAAAGAUUUGGUGGUAUGAGGACACUGCAGUGUUCUCUUUUAUAUCAUCAUCAUCAAAAGGAUUAGUACUAACUUUUGAUGUAGUUAGGUUGGGUUCAGAAGAAGUCCUUUUUGAGGGUUUAAGAGUCUGCUUAUUAUCCAACUCAUCGUCAGAAUCAAACGGGUUGGACCGAGAAGAAACCCGGUGUCCAGGGUCAACCGAAUUAUGCCUACCAACCCUUAAAGGAGAUUUCUUUAAGCCAAACAUUCUUAAAGCAGAGCUAUUAUUCAAACUGAAGAGAAAUCGAUCUAUCAAUCAAUGUUCCUGAAAAUAAAAAAAGGGAAAAAAAACAAAAACAAAUAAGCAUUUCUGUGAGAUUGUGAUGGGGUUAUUCAAAUAAUUACAAUAAUCAACAAGUUUAGCUGAAUAAGGUUGCAUAACAUUUGAGUUCCAUAAUACAGACUAGUAGGCGUGAUUCAGGAACAAAUUAUCAGAACUAGUUCCAAUAAAAAAAAAAAAACCAGCGACCCAAAAUUCAAAUAAGAAAAACAAGAUCAGCGAGAAAAUAAACCAGAAGAAGAUGUUUCCAUUAGAGUAAAAUUUUAUAAAAAGAAAUGAGAGGAAGACAGUAAGGUUACAAAUCUAAUUAAAGAUUUAGGUUGACCAAAAAAAA